rnacentral:misc_RNA from 1 species
GAUGAAGAACGUAGUGAAAUGCGAUAAGUAAUGUGAAUUGCAGAAUUCAGUGAAUCAUCGAAUCUUUGAACGCACAUUGCGCCCCCUGGUAUUCCGGGGGGCAUGCCUGUUCGAGCGUCAUUUUACCACUCAAGCCUCGCUUGGUAUUGGGCAACGCGGUCCGCCGCGUGCCUCAAAUCGACCGGCUGGGUCUUCUGUCCCCUAAGCGUUGUGGAAACUAUUCGCUAAAGGGUGUUCGGGAGGCUACGCCGUAAAACAACCCCAUUUCUAAGGUUGACCUCGGAUCAGGUAGGGAUACCCGCUGAACUUAAGCAUAUCAAUAAGCGGAGGA